CCUACGGGAGGCAGCAGUGGGGAAUCUUGCGUAAUGGGCGAAAGCCUGACGCAGCAACGCCGCGUGCGGGAAGAAGGCUUUCGGGCUGUAAACCGCUUUCAGCAGGAACGAAAAUGACGGUACCUGCAGAAGAAGGAGCGGCCAACUAUGUGCCAGCAGCCGCGGUGAUACAUAGGCUUCAAGCGUUGUCCGGAUUUAUUGGGCGUAAAGAGUUCGUAGGCGGUCGAGUAAGUCGGGUGUGAAAAUUCUGGGCUCAACCCAGAGACGCCACCCGAUACUGCUUAACUUGAGUUCGAUAGGGGAGUGGGGAAUUCCUAGUGUAGCGGUGAAAUGCGCAGAUAUUAGGAGGAACACCGGUGGCGAAGGCGCCACUCUGGAUCGAUACUGACGCUGAGGAACGAAAGCAUGGGUAGCAAACAGGAUUAGAUACCCUGGUAGUCCAUGCCGUAAACGGCGGGCACUAGGUGUGGGAUUCUAUUAACGAAUUCCGCGCCGUCGCUAACGCAUUAAGUGCCCCGCCUGGGGAGUACGGUCGCAAGACUAAAACUUAAAUGAAUUGACGG
rnacentral:rRNA from 1 species